GAGUGUUGGGUUAAGUCCCGCAACGAGCGCAACCCCCGCCGUUAGUUGCCAGCGGUUCGGCCGGGCACUCUAACGGGACUGCCCGCGAAAGCGGGAGGAAGAGGGGACGACGUCUGGUCAGCAUGGCCCUUACGGCCUGGGCGACACACGUGCUACAAUGCCCACUACAAAGCGAUGCCACCCGGCAACGGGGAGCUAAUCGCAAAAGGUGGGCCCAGUUCGGAUUGGGGUCUGCAACCCGACCCCAUGAAGCCGGAAUCGCUAGUAAUCGCGGAUCAGCCAUGCCGCGGUGAAUACGUUCCCGGGCCUU
rnacentral:rRNA from 1 species